rnacentral:rRNA from 1 species
GGCGAAGGCGGGUCUCUGGGCAGUAACUGACGCUGAGGAGCGAAAGCGUGGGGGGCGAACAGGAUUAGAUAACCUGGUAGUCCACGCCCUAAAGGGUGGGUACUAGGUGUGGGGUUCCUUCCUUGGGAUCCGUGCCGUAGCUAACGCAUUAAGUACCCCGCCUGGGGAGUACGGCCGCAAGGCUAAAACUCAAAGGAAUUGACGGGGGCCCGCACAAGCGGCGGAGCAUGUGGAUUAAUUCGAUGCAACGCGAAGAACCU